AGCUACGUGAGAAAAAACAUCUGGAGGUGGGAACAAUGGAAACCAUGGAAUCCUGGAAUUCUGGAUCCAAAGCUACUCGAGAAGAAACAUCUGGAGGUGGGAAUGAUGGAAACCUUGGAAUAAUGGAAUUCUGGAUCCAAAGAUACUAGGGAUGAAACAGCUGGAGGUGGGAAUGAUGGAAACCUUGGAAUUACAGAAUAUUGGAUCCAAAGCUACUUGAGAGGAAAGAUCUAGAGGUGGGAAUGAUGGAAACCAUGGAAUCCUGGAAUUCUGGAUCCAAAGGUGCUCGAGAAGUAACAUCUGGAGGUGGGAAUGAUGGAAACCAUGGAAUUCUGAAAUUCUGGAUCCAAAGCUACGUGAGAAAAAACAUCUGAAGGUGGGAAUGAUGGAAACCAUGGAAUUCUGGAUCCAAAGCUACUUGAGAAGAAACAUCUGGGGGUGGGAACGAUGGAAACCUUGGAAUCCUGGAAUUCUGGAUCCAAAGCUACUUGAGAGAAAAGAGCUGGAGGUGGGAAUGAUGGAAACCUUGGAAUUACAGAAUUCUGGAUCCAAAGCUACUCGAGAAGAAACAUCUGGAGGUGGGAAUGAUGGAAACCAUGGAAUCCUGGAAUUCUGGAUCCAGAGCUACUUGAGAAGAAACAUCUGGAGGUGGGAAUGAGG